rnacentral:rRNA from 1 species
AACGAACGCUGGCGGCAGGCUUAACACAUGCAAGUCGAGCGCCCUGCAAGGGGAGCGGCAGACGGGUGAGUAACGCGUGGGAAUCUACCCAUCUGUACGGAAUAACGCAUGGAAACGUGUGCUAAUACCGUAUACGUCCUUCGGGAGAAAGAUUUAUCGGAGAUGGAUGAGCCCGCGUUGGAUUAGCUAGUUGGUGGGGUAAAGGCCUACCAAGGCGACGAUCCAUAGCUGGUCUGAGAGGAUGAUCAGCCACACUGGGACUGAGACACGGCCCAGACUCCUACGGGAGGCAGCAGUGGGGAAUAUUGGACAAUGGGCGCAAGCCUGAUCCAGCCAUGCCGCGUGAGUGAUGAAGGCCCUAGGGUUGUAAAGCUCUUUCACCGGUGAAGAUAAUGACGGUACCCGGAGAAGAAGCCCCGGCUAACUUCGUGCCAGCAGCCGCGGUAAUACGAAGGGGGCUAGCGUUGUUCGGAUUUACUGGGCGUAAAGCGCACGUAGGCGGAUUAUUAAGUCAGGGGUGAAAUCCCGGGGCUCAACCCCGGAACUGCCUUUGAUACUGGUAGUCUUGAGUUCGAGAGAGGUGAGUGGAAUUCCGAGUGUAGCAGGUGAAAUUCGUAGAUAUUCGGAGGAACACCAGUGG